rnacentral:tRNA from 1 species
AAGAUACUAGUAAAAUAUAUUACACUGCCUUGUCAGGACAGAAUAGUGAGUUAAAACCUUACGUAUCUUU